AUCAAGUAAAUGAAGUUUCCAAUAAAAAGAUAUAAAAUGUUCUAUACAUUAUUACCACUGGUGUAACAAUAAUUAAACAUCAUAAACUUAUAUUAUAAUAAAAAUAUUAAAAAAAAAUGAAUGCACAAGUGUCAUCCUGAUAUUUAAAAAGUACAAACAUACAACACAACUGCCUGCCUGAGUGAAGGAAAUAAUAAUUAAAAACUAAUAAAAAAUAGCAAUAAUAAUUAAAAAGGAAAACUUAAAAAAUAAAAAAUGUAACUGCC
rnacentral:lncRNA from 1 species